rnacentral:misc_RNA from 1 species
GAUGAAGAACGUAGCGAAAAGCGAUAAGUAAUGUGAAUUUCAGAAUUCAGUGAAUCAUCGAAUCUUUGAACGCACCUUGCACCCUUUGGCAUUCCGAAGGGUAUGCUCGUUUGAGUGUCAUUGUUCUCUCACACUCCCAAUUGCUUUGGAUUGGGAGCGGUGGACUUGGGUGUUGCUGCUUGACUGAGGCUCACCUGAAAUAUGUUAGUGCACCUCUUGAUUGGACAUAGUACGGCGUGAUAAGUGUCUUCGCCGGCUCCUCGCAAAGAGGGUGGCCGAUCGGGAGCUCUGUUGCUUCAAACUGUCUUCGGACAAUCUUCUGGCGACUUGACCUCAAAUCGAGUAGGACUACCCGCUGAACUUAAGCAUAUCAAUAAGCGGAGGA